rnacentral:lncRNA from 1 species
UGUGAUGACAUUAUCUUUUAAAUUAAAAAGAGAUUUGGCUAGUUGUGUGUGUAAUGUUACUUUACAGUCCGACUCUCCUGAUGUACCUCUUUUCAUGAUCUUUUUCUUUCCUUCCCAAGAAACUGAGGAAUGUUUAAUAUGAAAACAUACAUCGGAUAUGUGAAAAGCACAACAAAAUUCUUAAUGUACACAGUAAAAAAGUAAAUAUAUAAAUGUAGAUGGCAUUUAGGACCACAGCUUGCUGGAUUUGUGUUAGCUAUGGGAAUAACUUGAUUUUGUAUAAGCUAUUUAGAGUGAGGCUGGAGGUGGCAGCUUCACAGAACUGGAGAACCAGGCCAAGUCCCCUCCCCAACCUAAUUAGGUCAUUCAGGACAGCUAAGUCAGUAUAUUUAGAGCAAUACUAGCAUACGUUUUUCUUAGUUGUUAUCAGCAUUGACCAAGUGGUUUGGAAGGAGGCAUGCUUUAAUAUCACAAUAAUUUUGAUUUGUAAACCAAGAAAUUAAUCCUGUGUUUAUCUAACUUCAUAAUAGCAAUUAUUGCCCGAAGCUAUAGUGGCAUAUUUACAAAAGUUCUUAUUACUGGGUGGACUGAUAAUAUUUAAAAAAUAAUUGUGUUUGACCCCAAAUGACUUUAUACCCAAUUCUACAUAAAAAUAUACAAGAUCUAUCUUUUUUUGUUACCUUCAGAUGUUCACUAAAUAACUCAGUUUUUAAGCAGAAGUUUUCAGGGCAUUAAAUAUAUGUUGUGUAUGAAGUAUCUCAAACUGGAACAUAAAUUUAGUGAUCAAACUGCCAUUCACAGUGUAAGGCAGCACUUAAAUUUCGAACCUAAGGUUUAGAUGCAUUGUAUAAAAAAACCUAAAAGCAGUAUCUGUUAUUUAGCUGUAAACCAAGUUGGAAGCUAUUCGGAUAAUUUCUUAAAUAUUGAUGAACUUUGGAGUACUGUUUCUUCCUUCAAACUGAAUGUAAUUAAUUCAUGAAUAAAUGCACCUUAUAUGUUUAAACAAUCUUUGUAUACUUUUGGGAUUUUUGGUGCUUAUAUGCUAAAUCACAUUCAGCAUGUGUAUUUUGACAUUUAAAAUACUUCCCUCAAUUCUGUAAAUUAAAAGAAUAGUUAUUUUACAGUUCCAGGGAUUGUGAAAUAAACGUUGCAGUUUUUUAAAAUAAUGAAAAUAAAUACUCUUGGUUUUGCUUUGUGAAAAAAAAA